rnacentral:rRNA from 1 species
ACACGUGGGCAAUCUGCCCUGCACUCUGGGACAAGCCCUGGAAACGGGGUCUAAUACCGGAUAUUGACCUUCACGGGCAUCUGUGAGGUUCGAAAGCUCCGGCGGUGCAGGAUGAGCCCGCGGCCUAUCAGCUUGUUGGUGAGGUAAUGGCUCACCAAGGCGACGACGGGUAGCCGGCCUGAGAGGGCGACCGGCCACACUGGGACUGAGACACGGCCCAGACUCCUACGGGAGGCAGCAGUGGGGAAUAUUGCACAAUGGGCGAAAGCCUGAUGCAGCGACGCCGCGUGAGGGAUGACGGCCUUCGGGUUGUAAACCUCUUUCAGCAGGGAAGAAGCGAAAGUGACGGUACCUGCAGAAGAAGCGCCGGCUAACUACGUGCCAGCAGCCGCGGUAAUACGUAGGGCGCAAGCGUUGUCCGGAAUUAUUGGGCGUAAAGAGCUCGUAGGCGGCUUGUCACGUCGGUUGUGAAAGCCCGGGGCUUAA